GACGAACGCUGGCGGCGUGCUUAACACAUGCAAGUCGAACGGUGAAAGCGGAGCUUGCUCCGCUGGAUCAGUGGCGAACGGGUGAGUAACACGUGGGCAACCUGCCCCUCACUUCGGGAUAACUCCGGGAAACUGGGGCUAAUACCGGAUAUGACCUCCUUGGGCAUCCUUGGAGGUGGAAAGUUUUUCGGUGAGGGAUGGGCCCGCGGCCUAUCAGCUUGUUGGUGAGGUAGUGGCUCACCAAGGCGACGACGGGUAGCCGGCCUGAGAGGGCGAACGGCCACACUGGGACUGAGACACGGCCCAGACUCCUACGGGAGGCAGCAGUGGGGAAUAUUGCGCAAUGGGCGAAAGCCUGACGCAGCAACGCCGCGUGCGGGAUGACGGCCUUCGGGUUGUAAACCGCUUUCAGCAGGGAAGAAGCCGCAAGGUGACGGUACCUGCAGAAGAAGCACCGGCUAACUACGUGCCAGCCGCCGCGGUAA
rnacentral:rRNA from 1 species